AGAAUCAACGCUGGCGGCGUGCCUAACACAUGCAAGUCGCACGAGAAAGGGUAGCAAUACCUGAGUACAGUGGCGCACGGGUGAGUAACACGUGGAUAAUCUACCUCCGAGUGGGGAAUAACUGAGAGAAAUCUUAGCUAAUACCGCAUAACACUUACGAGUCAAAGCAGCAAUGCGCUUGGAGAGGAGUUCGCGGCAGAUUAGUUAGUUGGCGGGGUAAUGGCCCACCAAGACGAUGAUCUGUA
rnacentral:rRNA from 1 species